AUGUCAAUCAUUUCAAAUAAACAUUCUUUUUAUUGUACUGAAGAUGUGAAAUGGCUGCUUGGUGGAGGUGCCAGGAUUUAUGAAUUAAGCUAUCUGAUGAUGACAGUGCUUAUAUUUUAUAGUUUUACAUUUUUUAUUUAUCUGGAGGCAUCGCGUGCGCCCGCCGUUUAUGACCGCCGGAUCGAUUCACCACAGACGGCGGUGAUGCAGACCAGGAACGCAUCGGACAUGGACGCUGUGCGGAAACUCGGCGCUGCCAGCGCCACCUCGGUGAGGAGGAAGACGCUCUGCGACAUCACCAACCUAAGGCGGCCGGUGGUGGCGGCAGGACGGGUUGAGGUACGCGGACGGCGUGGAUGGGAUCGCGUGGUUGGUCAAGGCAAGAUUUGCUGA
rnacentral:rRNA from 1 species